rnacentral:rRNA from 1 species
CACGUAGGCGGGUUCUUAAGUCAGGUGUGAAAUCCCGGGGCUCAACCUCGGAACUGCAUUUGAAACUGGGGACCUAGAGGUCAGGAGAGGUUAGCGGAAUACCGAGUGUAGAGGUGAAAUUCGUAGAUAUUCGGUGGAACACCAGUGGCGAAGGCGGCUAACUGGACUGAUACUGACGCUGAGGUGCGAAAGUGUGGGGAGCAAACA